ensembl:snRNA U6 U6 spliceosomal RNA
GUGCUCACUUUGGCAGCACAUAUACUGAAAUUAAAAUGAUACAGAGAAGAUGAGCAUGGCCUCUGUGCAAGGAUGACCCACAAAUUUGUGAGUGUCCAUAUUUUUCU